rnacentral:rRNA from 1 species
UACGUAGGGCGCAAGCGUUGUCCGGAAUUAUUGGGCGUAAAGAGCUCGUAGGUGGCUUGUCGCGUCGGUUGUGAAAGCCCACAGCUUAACUGUGGGUCUGCAUUCGAUACGGGCAGGCUAGAGGUAGGUAGGGGAGAACGGAAUUCCUGGUGUAGCGGUGAAAUGCGCAGAUAUCAGGAGGAACACCGGUGGCGAAGGCGGCUACCUGGACAGAAACUGACGCUGAGGCGCGAAAGCUAGGGGAGCAAACAGG